rnacentral:rRNA from 1 species
AGUUAGCCGUGGCUUAUUCCUCAGCUACCGUCAUUAUCGUCACUAAGAAAAGAGGUUUACAACCCGAAGGCCUUCAUCCCUCACGCGGCGUUGCUGCUUCAGGGUUUCCCCCAUUGAGCAAAAUUCCCGA